GCACGGAACGGGCCUCGGGGCAAUCCCCAC
rnacentral:sRNA from 1 species